UACGUAGGGGGCUAGCGUUGUCCGGAAUCAUUGGGCGUAAAGCGCGUGUAGGCGGCCCGAUAAGUCCGCUGUGAAAGUCCAGGGCUCAACCCUGGGAUGCCGGUGGAUACUGUCGGGCUCGAGUCCGGAAGAGGCGAGUGGAAUUCCUGGUGUAGCGGUGAAAUGCGCAGAUAUCAGGAGGAACACCAAUGGCGAAGGCAGCUCGCUGGGACGUGACUGACGCUGAGACGCGAAAGCAUGGGGAGCGAACAGG
rnacentral:rRNA from 1 species